rnacentral:rRNA from 1 species
UACGUAGGGUCCGAGCGUUGUCCGGAAUUAUUGGGCGUAAAGGGCUCGUAGGCGGUUCGUCACGUCGGGAGUGAAAACUCGGAGCUUAACCCCGGGUCUGCAUUCGAUACGGGCAGGCUAGAGUGUGGUAGGGGAGAUCGGAAUUCCUGGUGUAGCGGUGAAAUGCGCAGAUAUCAGGAGGAACACCGGUGGCGAAGGCGGAUCUCUGGGCCAUUACUGACGCUGAGGAGCGAAAGCGUGGGGAGCGAACAGG